rnacentral:rRNA from 1 species
AGAGUUUGAUCCUGGCUCAGGAUGAACGCUAGCGGCAGGCCUAAUACAUGCAAGUCGAGGGGUAACAGGAAGUGCUUGCACUUCGCUGACGACCGGCGCACGGGUGAGUAUCGCGUAUACAAUCUGCCUCAUACUAGGGAAUAGCCCGAAGAAAUUUGGAUUAAUGCCCUAUAGUAUCUUUUUAAGGCAUCUUAUUAAGAUUAAAGGUCACGGUAUGAGAUGAGUAUGCGUUCUAUUAGCUAGUAAGUGUGGUAACGGCACACCUAGGCUACGAUAGAUAGGGGCCCUGAGAGGGGGAUCCCCCACACUGGUACUGAGACACGGACCAGACUCCUACGGGAGGCAGCAGUAAGGAAUAUUGGUCAAUGGACGAAAGUCUGAACCAGCCAUGCCGCGUGCAGGAUGACUGCCCUAUGGGUUGUAAACUGCUUUUAUAUAGGAAGAAAAACUUUCUCGUGAGAAAGCUUGACGGUACUAUAAGAAUAAGGAUCGGCUAACUCCGUGCCAGCAGCCGCGGUAAUAC